GAGUUUGAUCCUGGCUCAGAUUGAACGCUGGCGGCAGGCCUAACACAUGCAAGUCGAGCGGAUGACGGGAGCUUGCUCCUUGAUUCAGCGGCGGACGGGUGAGUAAUGCCUAGGAAUCUGCCUGGUAGUGGGGGACAACGUUUCGAAAGGAACGCUAAUACCGCAUACGUCCUACGGGAGAAAGCAGGGGACCUUCGGGCCUUGCGCUAUCAGAUGAGCCUAGGUCGGAUUAGCUAGUUGGUGAGGUAAUGGCUCACCAAGGCGACGAUCCGUAACUGGUCUGAGAGGAUGAUCAGUCACACUGGAACUGAGACACGGUCCAGACUCCUACGGGAGGCAGCAGUGGGGAAUAUUGGACAAUGGGCGAAAGCCUGAUCCAGCCAUGCCGCGUGUGUGAAGAAGGUCUUCGGAUUGUAAAGCACUUUAAGUUGGGAGGAAGGGCAGUAAGUUAAUACCUUGCUGUUUUGACGUUACCGACAGAAUAAGCACCGGCUAACUCUGUGCCAGCAGCCGCGGUAAUACAGAGGGUGCAAGCGUUAAUCGGAAUUACUGGGCGUAAAGCGCGCGUAGGUGGUUCGUUAAGUUGGAUGUGAAAGCCCCGGGCUCAACCUGGGAACUGCAUCCAAAACUGGCGAGCUAGAGUACGGUAGAGGGUGGUGGAAUUUCCUGUGUAGCGGUGAAAUGCGUAGAUAUAGGAAGGAACACCAGUGGCGAA
rnacentral:rRNA from 1 species